AAGCACAGUUAGGCUGAUCGAUCAACCUGAAAGGUAUGAUACAGGCCCCACACCCGGCAGUGCCCAUACUCACCAGCAGGUGGCGGUAUAAGCGGAUCAUCGCAUUGUGUUGUUACUGCGGCGAGCAGAAAAAGAAAGGUGAUGUUCGUUACGAAAGUAACCUGCAAACGCACUGGACCAAUACCAUACAACCAUGGUUGUGGUGUUGCUGAAUGAGUUCUUCGUUCGUACAGCACACCGUACAUUGGCAUUUCUUGAAUUUACUUUAGGUUUAAGUUGGCUGAUUGAUUGAGCGUUUAUACCCUGAAUAACACUUGUGUAACCACUGAAAUGUGUUAUAACUGACUUGUGUAAGCUUCGCUUUGUCAUUGAUUUUAACCGCCUCAUCUCGCCAGACGUUGGUCGUUUAAGAUUCGGUUCAAUAUGUUUCAUAUGCUUCCCAAAGUACGGAUGCCAAUGACAUUGGCAUUAGCCAGAGGAUUUCCUUCCUUGGCGAGCUGCAGAUCUCUCUGCCGCCAUCAGAAUCGGACCUUCUCAACACAACAAUCACUUGUCAGGGUGUUGUACGAUGGACUUUGUCCCAUUUGUGUGACAGAGAUACGGUUCCUCCAGUAUUAUCAGAGAAACAAAGCAGAAAAAGUCACAUUUGUUGACAUCUCACUUCCUGGUUAUGACGGAGGAGAGUUCGCAGGGGUCAGCUACGACACGGCCAUGGAUGAGAUGCACGUGAUUGAUGAAAGGGACCAGGUACACCGUGGGAUCCCAGCGUUCUCAGUCAUGUACGGCGCCGUCGGCCUGGGCUGGUUGGGGCGCUUCAUGAUGUGGGCCCCUUUGAGGCCCUGGAUGGACAAAAGCUACGCCAUCUUUGCCAGGAAUCGCCUGAAGUGGACUGGACGUGGGGAUGAGUGCCGUACCGAAGCUGUGCAAAGAAAACACGUUGAUCGUUUGGAUGGCAGUUCGACUAUUUAUGGGAUGGAUUACAAAACUGCUGGGCAUCUGCCACUAGAUGACAAUGAAGGUUGGAAAACAAGCUGUCGCAAUAAAAUGCUAGCAAAGUGAUGAAAUGUGUUUUUGAAGGAAUGCGUUUUCAAGAAUGACAACAUUUGAAGGCCUGAUGUUGAUUAUACUGUUGCAUUACCUUGGCCAACACAGAAUGGAAUCAACAACGUCAAAUCGCACCUUUGUAUGGUUUGUGCAAUAAAAACGUCAGUAAUGCUGUAACACGAGUGACAUUAUAUUUUCUGUCAUCAUGUGUGACUGUGCUGGGCAGAAGCCAGACCCAGGAGGGAUCAAAGAGGAGGUCCGUCUCCGCUACAACAGUGUUGUUAUCAGCCAGACACCAGUGGCUGAUACAGGUAGUACAAACUAGUACGCACGUGAGUGACUGUACCCAACGCUUACGCAAUAGCUCUGUUGCAUACACGGUAGAGUGGGCCACACCCCUUUCAACUCAUGUGGACAUUCUUGUGUUGAACUGACCUAAGAUCUAUAAAAUAAGAUGCUGGUGAAAGAUAGUUUCUUAGAGACAUUGGAGUAGAAGGGGAUUAAUAGAGGGAAUCAAACAUUGUUGACAAGAAACUCAAGUGUGGCUCUUCCAGGCUUGUCCCUGUCCUGUAACCUUCAUGGGAGAGGGACUGUGCUGGUGUCCUCUGACGCCUGCUCUGGGCCUCCUGGCUUUCAAGAUCCACAACUUGUUGUCUUCCCUAAUAUUAGCCUUGUGCUCUUGUGCUGUACAGUCAGCCGCGAUGGCACAUGACCUUAAGCUUUUGUUUCCUUGCACGGCAUUGGUCAGCCAGCAGGGCUGAGGUGUCCACCCCUAAGCCAGUU
ensembl:lncRNA